AGUCCACCACCAAUUCCGUAAUAGAACCGAGUAGGAUCUUUUGUUCCCUCAUGGCCUACCCGGUGAGAUGUCUCAUCCGAGAAUACAUUUAUUAUGCAGGCAAGAGUGGUCAAACUAGCCCUAUCCUAAGUGAUUCCAAUAUUCCAAAUGUACUGUGAAAUCCUCGGCUGCGGUAGAGAAAGGACUCCAAAAAGGACGUUCAAUCA